GACGGAGGAUGCAAGCGUUAUCCGGAAUGAUUGGGCGUAAAGCGUCCGCAGGUGGCAGUUCAAGUCUGCUGUCAAAGCGUGGAGCUUAACUCCAUAACGGCAGUGGAAACUGAUGAGCUAGAGUGCGAUAGGGGUAGCAGGAAUUCCCAGUGUAGCGGUGAAAUGCGUAGAGAUUGGGAAGAACACCAGCGGCGAAAGCGUGCUACUGGGUCUGCACUGACACUGAGGGACGAAAGCUAGGGGAGCGAAAGGG
rnacentral:rRNA from 1 species